GUUUUUUUUUUCCCCCAAGCACGUUUGGGUAUUUUUCCAUGCCGUGAGGAAAGCGGGAGAUGGCGGCUCCGACCCCUGCGAAGGAGAAAAGCGGUGCAAAAGAACAAAAUUAGGCAUUAAACUACCCACCUUGGGUGAUAAAUCCCUGAGGUCAAUAAGCCACCUUGACAAACAGGAUAACCUCUGUGAGAAAUAUCUGUGUUUUUUUUUUAAUAAAACACCUCACUUACAGGCUCUACUGGACACUCCAGCAAAAUAAAGAUGUAACUUCAACUACUCAAAGCCAAA